rnacentral:tRNA from 1 species
GAGGGUAUAGCUCAGCGGUAGAGCACACGCUUAGCAUGCACAAGGUCCUGGGUUCAAUCCCCAGGACCUCCA